GCCUGGGUGGCUCAGUUGGUUAAGCAUCUGACUCUUGAUUUAGGCUCAGGUCACGAUUUCACGGUUUGUGAGUUUGAGCCCCACCUCGGGCU
rnacentral:tRNA from 1 species